rnacentral:rRNA from 1 species
AUUGAACGCUGGCGGCAUGCUUUACACAUGCAAGUCGGACGAGUGGCGGACGGGUGAGUAAUAUAUCGGAACGUACCGGGUAAUGGGGGAUAACUAAUCGAAAGGUUAGCUAAUACCGCAUAUUAUUCGAGCGGCCGAUAUCUGAUUAGCUAGUUGGUGGGGUAAAGGCCUACCAAGGCGACGAUCCGUAGCGGGUCUGAGAGGAUGAUCCGCCACACUGGAACUGAGACACGGUCCAGACUCCUACGGGAGGCAGCAGUGGGGAAUGUUGGACAAUGGGCGCAAGCCUGAUCCAGCCAUGCCGCGUGUCUGAAGAAGGCCUUCGGGUUGUAAAGUACUUUCGUCAGGGAAGCGUUACCUGCAGAAUAAGCACCGGCUAACUACGUGCCAGCAGCCGCGGUAAUUC